AACGCGAAGAACCUUACCUGGAUUUGACAUCUCCUGCUAGCUCUAGAGAUAGAGUGUUCGUAGCAAUACGACAGGAAGACAGGUGCUGCAUGGCUGUCGUCAGCUCGUGUGGUGACAUGUUGGGUUAAGUCCCGCAACGAGCGCAACCCUUGUCCUUAGUUGCCAUCAUUCAGUUGGGCUCUCUAAGGAGACUGCCGUGGUGAACACGGAGGAAGGUGGGGAUGACGUCAAGUCCUCAUGGCCUUUAUAUCCAGGGCGACACACGUGAUACAAUGGACGGUACAAAGGGAAGCCAAGAGGCAACUCGGAGCUAAUCUCAAAAAGCCGUUCUCAGUUCGGAUUGGAGUCUGCAACUCGACUCCAUGAAGUUGGAAUCGCUAGUAAUCGCGGAUCAGCACGCCGCGGUGAAUACGUUCCCGGGCCUUGUACACACCGACUGUAC
rnacentral:rRNA from 1 species